UGGACAAGAAGAUUUUCAAGUUUUUCCCUAUAUAAAUCUAUGUAAAUUAUAGAAAUAAACAAAGGGCCAUAACUCACUAAAAAAUUGUUGAACCAGUUUGAUUUUCAGAGGGACACAACUAGGGUACCAAUACAUCAUUCUGACAAAGUUUGGUUAAAAUCCCCCCUGUAGUUUCUGAGGAGAUGCGAUAACGAGAAAUUGUUAACGGACGGAAGGACGGACGGACUGACGGACGGACGGAAGGACGACGGACCAUGGACGCAGAGUGAUUUGAAUAGCCCACCAUCUGAUGAUGGUGGGCUAAAAAGGAUGUUUUUACAAUAGCUUUUCAACUUAAGGAUUUGACACCUUCUUUAGCUGACCAAGAAAGUGUAAGUGUGGAAUCAAUUUAUCUGUGUAGUAAUACCAAAUUUUGAAAUCUGACAUUUGAUGAGUCAGCCUGGGAGAAACUGGAAACACAUUGUGAGAGGUACCUUCUGUGAAAAAAGUGCAACUUUGUGACAUGAUAUGCCUGCCUGACUAUAUACCUGAGCAGCAUACAGCUUAUUACUGCAUAAAAGAAACAUACCAAGAUAAUUUUGAAUCAGAUUGUGUGCUGGAAAAAUGGCCUUACAUCCAAAGGAGUGAAAUUUGGAGAGUCAUUCGCCAUCUGCUUAAGCCAUCCUGGAAUAUGAAAAAGUAAGACUGCAUUGACAACAUCCUGAUC